rnacentral:misc_RNA from 1 species
AAAUUUCUUAAUAAUCCAGACAUUUGCAACUUGGAACCAGACACAUCCAUUAAAACAAUUAACCAUAAACAUCAAGCUAACAACUCACACUUAUAAAUGUUUGUUCCAUUCCUAAAUAUUAGAUUGAAAACUCCAUCAGCCUCGCCUGUCAGCAAACUGGUCAUCUUUAAAACUGUCAUCCAACUGGAAGUCCUGCACGUUAUUGCCAUAACUGUCAGCAUUGCUUUGGUUGCCAUAGCCCCCAUCGCCACUGCCACUAGCAUGGCUGCCAGCAGGAGCACCUCCAGCACCGUCACCAUAGCUGCCAGCAGAACCACCUCCAGCACCGUUGUCAUAGCCACCACCUCCACUGUUGUAGCUAUUUCCACCAUAGCUGCCACCUCCGCUGCCACCACCGUACCCCCCAGGAGCACCUCCAACACCAUCACCAUAGAUGCCAGCAGGAGCACCUCCAACACCGUCACCAUAG